GACGAACGCUGGCGGCGUGCCUAAUACAUGCAAGUCGAGCGGACGAAUCGAAAGCUUGCUUUUGAUUCGUUAGCGGCGGACGGGUGAGUAACACGUGGGCAACCUGCCCUGUAGACGGGGAUAACACCGAGAAAUCGGUGCUAAUACCGGAUAACACGAAAUGUCGCAUGACGUUUCGUUGAAAGACGGCGCAAGCUGCCGCUACAGGAUGGGCCCGCGGCGCAUUAGCUAGUUGGUGAGGUAACGGCUCACCAAGGCGACGAUACGUAGCCGACCUGAGAGGGUGAUCGGCCACACUGGGACUGAGACACGGCCCAGACUCCUACGGGAGGCAGCAGUAGGGAGUCUUCCGCAAUGGACGAAAGUCUGACGGAGCAACGCCGCGUGAGCGAAGAAGGCCUUCGGGUCGUAAAGCUCUGUUGUUAGGGAAGAACAAGUAACGCAGUAACUGGCGUUACCGUGACGGUACCUAACGAGAAAGCCACGGCUAACUACGUG
rnacentral:rRNA from 1 species